rnacentral:lncRNA from 1 species
ACCUGGGUAGAUGAAAUGAGAUGUUCAAUGGAUUAGCUGAGUAAAGAUCAAUAAUUGUGAUGUCUGGCACGGUCGUGAUCAUGGUCUGAUUUUUGUAGAUCUUUUAUAAAGCAAAAGAGACAGUUGAAGAAUUAUCAGGCAUACACAAACACGAUUUUGUUUACAGUUAGAAAAUGUAAGGUGGUGAAAGAAAGAUGAAAUUUCAAGACCUGUAAGUCUUACAUUUUGGGGGCUUGUCCUGGAUUUGGGAGCGCCCAGAAACCUGAGAAUACCCCUUGGAGAUACUUAUUUUAUUGAUGGUUCAUCAAAGGAUAUAAGAUGGUUUCGUGGGCCUGGAGAGAUGGCUCAGCAAGUAAGAACACUGACUGCUCUUCCAGAGGUCCUGAGCUCAAAUCCCAGCAGCCACAUGUUGGCUCACAACCGUCUGCAAUGAGAUCUGAUGCCCUCUUCUGGUGUGUCUGAAGACAGCUACAGUGUACUCAAAUACAUAAAAUAAAUAAAUAAAUCUUUAAAAAAACCAUUU